AUGCAAGUCGAGCGGUAGAGAGAAGCUUGCUUCUCUUGAGAGCGGCGGACGGGUGAGUAAUGCCUAGGAAUCUGCCUGGUAGUGGGGGAUAACGUUCGGAAACGGACGCUAAUACCGCAUACGUCCUACGGGAGAAAGCAGGGGACCUUCGGGCCUUGCGCUAUCAGAUGAGCCUAGGUCGGAUUAGCUAGUUGGUGAGGUAAUGGCUCACCAAGGCGACGAUCCGUAACUGGUCUGAGAGGAUGAUCAGUCACACUGGAACUGAGACACGGUCCAGACUCCUACGGGAGGCAGCAGUGGGGAAUAUUGGACAAUGGGCGAAAGCCUGAUCCAGCCAUGCCGCGUGUGUGAAGAAGGUCUUCGGAUUGUAAAGCACUUUAAGUUGGGAGGAAGGGCAGUUACCUAAUACGUGAUUGUUUUGACGUUACCGACAGAAUAAGCACCGGCUAACUCUGUGCCAGCAGCCGCGGUAAUACAGAGGGUGCAAGCGUUAAUCGGAAUUACUGGGCGUAAAGCGCGCGUAGGUGGUUUGUUAAGUUGGAUGUGAAAUCCCCGGGCUCAACCUGGGAACUGCAUUCAAAACUGACUGACUAGAGUAUGGUAGAG
rnacentral:rRNA from 1 species